AGUCGAGGGGUAACGGAAGUAGCUUGCUACUAGGCGACGACCGGCGCACGGGUGAGUAACGCGUAUGUAAUCUGCCUUGUACAGAGGGAUAGCCCAGAGAAAUUUGGAUUAAUACCUCAUAGUAUUACUGGAUCGCAUGAUUUGGUAAUUAAAGCUCCGGCGGUACAAGAUGAACAUGCGUGACAUUAGCUAGUUGGUAAGGUAACGGCUUACCAAGGCUACGAUGUCUAGGGGUUCUGAGAGGAUGAUCCCCCACACUGGUACUGAGACACGGACCAGACUCCUACGGGAGGCAGCAGUGAGGAAUAUUGGUCAAUGGACGCAAGUCUGAACCAGCCAUCCCGCGUGAAGGAUGACUGCCCUAUGGGUUGUAAACUUCUUUUAUAUGCAAAUAAACCUACUUUCGUGAAAGUAGCUGAAGGUAGCAUAUGAAUAAACACCGGCUAACUCCGUGCCAGCAGCCGCGGUAAUACGGAGGGUGUAAGCGUNAUCCGGAUUUAUUGGGUUUAAAGGGUACG
rnacentral:rRNA from 1 species